rnacentral:misc_RNA from 1 species
AUGAUCCACCUGCCCAAUGCAUUUUUUCUUUAUUCAGUUUACCUUUUUUACCUAAUAUACGAGCUUGUUAAAACUCAGUGAUCACAAUGUUCGCAAGUAUGUAGGCAUUGUGUU